CACGUAGGGUGCGAGCGUUGUCCGGAAUUAUUGGGCGUAAAGGGCUCGUAGGCGGUUUGUCGCGUCGGGAGUGAAAUCCACUGGCUUAACUGGUGGCUUGCUUUCGAUACGGGCAGACUGGAGGUAUGCAGGGGAGAAUGGAAUUCCCGGUGUAGCGGUGAAAUGCGCAGAUAUCGGGAGGAACACCGGUGGCGAAGGCGAUUCUCUGGGCCUUACCUGACGCUGAGGAGCGAAAGCGUGGGGAGCGAACAGG
rnacentral:rRNA from 1 species